UACGGGGGGGGCAAGCGUUGUUCGGAAUUAUUGGGCGUAAAGAGCUCGUAGGCGGUUUGUCGCGUCUGCUGUGAAAUCCCGAGGCUCAACCUCGGGCCUGCAGUGGGUACGGGCAGACUAGAGUGCGGUAGGGGAGAUUGGAAUUCCUGGUGUAGCGGUGGAAUGCGCAGAUAUCAGGAGGAACACCGAUGGCGAAGGCAGAUCUCUGGGCCGUAACUGACGCUGAGGAGCGAAAGCGUGGGGAGCGAACAGG
rnacentral:rRNA from 1 species